rnacentral:lncRNA from 1 species
UGUGAUAAACUAUAGAUUGAUCCGAAUGACAGUUGUGCUCCUUCUUGAAGGUCAAUUAAGCAAUCAUAGGGACGAUGUUUCGAGAGUGUAUCCACAUUUUUUUUUUCAAAUACAUCUUGAAAUUCUUGAUAUUGGCUUGGAAUGCUACUUGAAGUCUUUUCACUAGUAGAAACACGUGUGGCAUAAAUAAUAUAUGGUGAUUCUUUCAUAGCAGCAUGCAAGAAAGCUUUUGUACCUAUAAAUACGGGUUUAAUUGAAUUGGACUUAUGACUCUGUACUUGAUUAAUUACACUGUUAGUUAUACUUUUAGAGAAAGUAAGAGUUCGAGAAAUCCAAUCUAUUUGAGGGUUGUAUUUUUCUAACCACAAUAAACCUAAAAUGACUAGAUUAGAGGGAGAUCUAAUGAUAUUAAAUACUACAAAGCUAUUAUGACCAUUGAUUAUUACAUCUAUAGGAAAGAUUUUGUGAGUAAUAUUUUGAGAAGAUAAUGGACAACCAUCUAUGACUUCUACAUGAACAGAUUUAGUUUUCUUUACUAAAGAUAUGUUAUGUCUUGUAGUAAUUUCUUCAUCUAAGAAAUACACUAAGGCUCCUGAAUCUAACAAGAAAGACGCUUCGUAAUGUUUAGGUUCUAAAAUAACAUUUAGUGUAAAACAAAGAGAGGGCUCUAAGGAGAGAAUAUGACCUUUACUAGAUGUUGUGUAAGGUUCCAACCACACGGUCCUUAUUGUAGCUACACAAACUCGUUUUUUGACAUAUUAUCUUCUUUCAUAGCCAAAUUCCUCAUUUUGUGGUUGCAUCGUUUCUUUGGAUAAUGUUGAGUAGUGUGUUUUGGUUCUCCAUAGUAUAAAUAUAAUCCUUCUUUACGAUGACAAGUCUUUUCUUGCUCAGUACGAGGUUUGAAACGUACUAUAUCAAUUUACAUAUCUUCUACUUCCGAAUGUACGUGUUGAAGAGGUGUUGAUAUUGCCAUUGAAUUAUAGUAAUGUUGAGGUCCACUUGUACAGUUCUCAGAUUGAAAUUCAAAAAGGCAAUUGUCACACUUCACCGCAAAGUCAACUACUUGACUCAAUGUUUGAGGAUCAGGUAAGUUGAAUAUUAAUUUUUUUACCUCAUAUUAUAAUCUAUAGAGAAAUUAGCUAAUAAGUGCAGCAUUAUCUCACUUGAUAUCAGUUACAAGUUAUCAAAAUUGUGAAGCAUAUAACGUUAUUAAUCAAUUAUCUUGUCGUAAAACAUGGAUCUUAUUGGUUGCAACAUGAAUUGCAUCAUGUUCAAGAUACAUGGAUUGAAACUCCACCAAAAAAGCCUCUAGAUUAUCCAAUAUUGGAUCUUGUCGUUUAAGAAAAGCUAAAAACCAUGAUAGUACUGAACCUGAAAGAAGCAUACCAAUGAAUCUAACUUGCGAUCCUGGAGUUCGAUAGCUUUGGGGUUGAAGUUCAAUCACAAGUUGCACUUGAUUGAUAAAUCCUUGAAAUUUGGAUGUGGUACCAUCAAACUUCUCGGGUAGGGUAAUUUUUGGUUCUCUAACACUGGAAGGGCGUUCUACUAUAGGAAAAAGGAUAUGAUUUGGUACAGUUGUUGAAGUAGCUUCAACCAUUUCUAUAUCUUCACUUCUUGCCAAUCUUGUUGCUCCUUGUGAUGGUAAAUUGAGUUAAUGCAUCGCAAGCAUUAACUCCCUCAAUUGUUCUUGUAUUUGUGCCAUUGCACUCUUUAUUUCAACAAGUUCUACUAUGAUAACACUUAGAAGAGAGAAGAUGUCUAAUAUCGCUCAAGACAAAUAGAAGAGAGGACUUGAAAACAAAAAAAAUACUAAUGACAAUAUCAGUUUAGAAGAGGAUAAUCCGCAACUUCUAAUAUGCUUAUAUCUUAUCAAGAAAAAGGGGUAAUCCACUCUUAAUCAAGAUUAGACAAAGUUUUGAUAUUGUAGGUGUACUCUUGUCAAUCUGUCAAGGACAAGAACUCAAUGAAAAAGCAAUUCAGAUAAGUGAGCCUUUAGACAAAUAAAGGUAAAAAAAUAUAAAUAAACAAGUAUGUAUAUUGAAAGAGAAACUGGAAUGGCUAUUGCCAAAAGAUAAGAAAAUUAGAGACCCUUGAAACUAGACAAGAAGCAAGAAAAGAGUUGACAAGAGUGAAGAAGACUUCACUCUUGUCUCUAUAUAUACUAUCCAACUAGGAGCUAUGUGGCGACAAUCUAUAGGACCUUCAAUAUGUGUUGACUUUGUAGGAUACAUGCCUUGAUUUAGAAGGCAAGUUUUUCUAUGUUGUCAUAAUGUGUGAAGUCUUGCUUGAGAAUGCUCCGGGCACCUGGCUGUAGAAAGAAGAAUAGAAAUUGCGAUAACAAAAUCCUAAUUCUAAUAGAAUACUAACAAUGCUCUAAUUAGACUAUAAUAAUGGUAAACAAAUGUAAUCAAAUUCAAAACAACUCAAAGAAAUUUCAAACAAAUAAUAAAAUUCUUAAAGAAAUAUUGGAAUGAUCACAAAUAUUACUCAAAUAUAUGUCAAUUCAACCUUAAUUUAAUUCUAGUUAAAACCCUAUUGAAUUUCACUCAAACUUUAAACCAAACCUAAUUAAAUCUUAAACCCUAAUAAAUCCUAAACCUUAAGUCAAAUCCUAAACAAAUCUUAAAUUAAACCCUAAAUCAAAUCCUAUUUCAAACCCUAAAUCCUAAACCAAAUCCUAAAUCAAACCCUAAACUUGGUCCUAAACCCUAAUCCCAAUUCUAAUCCAAUCCUAAACCCUAAUCCAAAUCCUAAAUUCUAAACCAAACCUUAAAUCAAAUCCUAACCAAAUCCUAAUCCAAAUCCUAAAUCAAAUCCUAAUCAAACCCUAAAUCCUAAUCCAAACCUAAACCCUAACCAAACCCUAAAUUCUAAACCAAACCUUAAAUCAAACCC